GCUGCACAUGAACUCGUCCCCAACCUCCAUCCCACGACCACCCGUCCCCUGCGCUGGCCGCCGGCGCAAUCACCCCCUCCCCCACGCGUCGCCGCAACUCCACGCCCAACCUCGCGCUCCUCCGUCGCUGCCCCACCCCGCGCCGCCUCCUACCUCGCCCACCCCACAGGCCGCCGCCGCAGCCCCACCGCGCAUCACCUCCUACCUCGCGCACCAUGAGCCGCCGUCACCGCCCCACCCCGCGCGCUGCCGCCGCCGCCACCCUACCCUGCCCCGCCACCACGGGAUCCCCCAUGCGCGUCGGCCGCCACCCGACGCAAAUCAGUCGCCGCCCCAGCGAUUCUCCACUUCCCCGUGCUAUCCCUCGAUGCCGGUCGGGCGCCUCCGACAGGAUGCGUCGCCAUGGUCCAGUCACCGGGGGUUGCUCUCCCUGACUCAUAGCUGAAGGAGACCGGCAGCUUCCUCGAUGGAGCACUGCAGAAGGCCAUCGAGCCUACAACCACAACUAGGACGAGCCCCUCAAUUUGCUAGUUUCAUUUUUAUUGCAAUCGCAAACUCUGUUUGCCCCUUCCUUGAUCCAAUCUUUUGUUCUUGCUACUCCACAUCGCAUCCACAUGCCGACGCGCCGCCCCCAACCCAUGAACCUUCACCUGCUGGUUGACCUCGCAAAGCCCACCUCCACCUUCCGGGGAUCUGGCUCGCAGGGUGCACGCAAUCUCGUCCUGGCCAGCUGCUGCUGGGUGAAGCUCCACCAGCCUGAAGAUGCAAGAGCAAGAAUAGAGGGAGAUACAGAGCAUGUGUAGUAUAUGGACUGCUCGCACGCGCUGCCACGGACUGCUCGCACGCGCUGCCACGAACUGCUCCACCCAGCGCCUCCACACCCCGGGCGUCGCCUGCGUGCCACACCGUAGCCACUUCUCCCACACGUUGAUGAAGAGGUCUGUCUCUCUUUCCUCCCCUGCUCACCGUCCUGUGCGGCAGUGGACGCGACUACUUGAGGGAACAAAGCCCGGCUUCCGAACACCGGCAGUCUCCCUGCACCCUACAAAAAAUUAAAUAAAUCGCAAGUUCAGAAUCAAGAAACCAUGAAGUUCAAAGACAACAAAGUACUACCCGAUGUUGUUCGCCAACGAUCUUUAGUUUCUUUAGCAGUUCGUACACAUUUUGCCAAAGCUAGUAUGUUCGGAACCGUAAGUUGAUAGCUGACCGACAGGGACAACAAUGUUGAUGGCGAUUGAAGAAGGAUCCCAAAAUAUUAUUAUUGGGACCGAAGGCCAAGUUUUAUGCACGGUGUGAGAGGAUUUCAGGAAUUGUUCUAAAGCGGUCGAUGGCUUUCGAGAGAUGCGAUCAUAUCUCACAAGUUUCUAGGGGGUUCAAGAUCAUUUAUAUAAGAAGGAAAUGUCAAAGGUUCAGACGGCAGCACACUUAAAAAUACUGGUGAAAAAUCUGAACAUGUGUAGUGCAAUUAUGGGGAAAAGCUUGAAUUUUUAUCGCUUAA